GAUGAACGCUGGCGGCGUGCUUAACACAUGCAAGUCGAACGGAAAGGCUCCUGCUUGCAGGGGUACUCGAGUGGCGAACGGGUGAGUAACACGUGGGUGAUCUGCCCUGCACUUCGGGAUAAGCCUGGGAAACUGGGCCUAAUACCGGAUAGGACGAUGGUUUGGAUGCCAUUGUGGAAAGUUUUUUCGGUGUGGGAUGAGCUCGCGGCCUAUCAGCUUGUUGGUGGGGUAAUGGCCUACCAAGGCGUCGACGGGUAGCCGGCCUGAGAGGGUGUACGGCCACAUUGGGACUGAGAUACGGCCCAGACUCCUACGGGAGGCAGCAGUGGGGAAUAUUGCACAAUGGGCGCAAGCCUGAUGCAGCGACGCCGCGUGGGGGAUGACGGCUUUCGGGUUGUAAACUCCUUUCGCUAGGGACGAAGCGCAAGUGACGGUACCUGGAGAAGAAGCACCGGCUAACUACGUG
rnacentral:rRNA from 1 species